rnacentral:rRNA from 1 species
GCAAGUCGAGCGCUACCUUCGGGUGGAGCGGCGGACGGGUUAGUAACGCGUGGGAACAUACCCUUUUCUAUGGAAUAGCCUCGGGAAACUGAGAGUAAUACCAUAUACGCCCUUCGGGGGAAAGAUUUAUCGGUGAAGGAUUGGCCCGCGUUAGAUUAGAUAGUUGGUGAGGUAAUGGCUCACCAAGGCGACGAUCAAUAGCUGGUCUGAGAGGAUGAUC